GACGAACGCUGGCGGCGUGCCUAAUACAUGCAAGUGGGACGCAAGGGAACACACUGUGCUUGCACACCGUGUUUUCUUGAGUCGCGAACGGGUGAGUAACGCGUAGGUAACCUGCCUAUUAGCGGGGGAUAACUAUUGGAAACGAUAGCUAAUACCGCAUAAUAUUAAUUAUUGCAUGAUAAUUGAUUGAAAGAUGCAAGCGCAUCACUAGUAGAUGGACCUGCGUUGUAUUAGCUAGUUGGUAAGAUAAGAGCUUACCAAGGCGACGAUACAUAGCCGACCUGAGAGGGUGAUCGGCCACACUGGGACUGAGACACGGCCCAGACUCCUACGGGAGGCAGCAGUAGGGAAUCUUCGGCAAUGGACGAAAGUCUGACCGAGCAACGCCGCGUGAGUGAAGAAGGUUUUCGGAUCGUAAAGCUCUGUUGUAAGUCAAGAACGUGUGUGAGAGUGGAAAGU
rnacentral:rRNA from 1 species